rnacentral:lncRNA from 1 species
AAUGCUGUAAACAUUUACAUUUGAGUUAAUGUUAAGCUUAGAGCCACCUCAGCAGAGGCUUGUGUGGCAUUGCUUUUGUCUUUGUAAAGAAUGAGAAAAAGACAAGGUGGCUUUGAUUCCUGAUGUGUACUGGGUUCAAUCUAUUACUAAUAAGAGAUCUAACCUUAAAUUACUAAUUGAUGAUGAUGGUGGUUAGGUUUCCAGCCGGCACCUUAGAAGUAAUGUACAAUUGAUAGUGGAGAGCGCAGAAGUGACCCACUACUUGCCUGGGGCGGGCUGGGCUGGGCUGGGCUGGGCCACAGUACUGGUCGCUCUGAGAUUUCAGUGCAACUCCAGCCAGUGGCCCCACCACCAUGAGCACCAAGCAGGUCACCUGCAGGUAUUUUAUGCAUGGUGUAUGUCUCUAAGGUAGCCAGUGCCUGUUCUCACAUGACUUGGUGAACAGCAAGCCGUCCACCAUCUGCAAAUACUACCAGAAAGGCUACUGCGCCUGUGGUGCACAUUGCAGAUAUGAUCAUACAAAGCCCCCAACUGCAGCAGGUGGAGCUGUGGGUCCUGCACCCAACCCUUCACCCUCCUCAGGCCUGCAUAGUCCUCACCCUCCUCCACAUUGCCACAUCUGUUAUGAGGACACAUUCAAAUGAACCUGGAAAGCAGGAGAAGAAUACGCUGGUGCUCAGAGACCUCAAUCUCACUGGUCUGGCUGAAGACAAGACUCCUCCAAGCACAGUGAAAUAUCCAGGUGGCUGCAGUGACCUUCAGAACAGCCCAGAGAUGACGCCCCAUUCCUACCUAAAUGCCAUCAGGACUGGCCUGGAUGACUUGGAGGCCAGCAGCUCCUGGAGCAAUGAGCUUCAGUUGUGUCCCUAUGCUGCUGCUGGGGAGUGCCAGUUUGGAGAUGCCCAUAUCUACCUGCAUGGGAACAUGUGUGAGAUCUUCAGGCUUCGAUUCCUCCACCCUUGACCCAGAACAAAGGAAAGCUCAUGAGAAGAUGUGUAUGUUGACAUUUGAACAUGAGAUGGACAAGGCGUUUGCCUUCCAGGCGAGCCAGGACAAAGUGUGCAGCAUCUGUAUGGAGGUGAUCCUUGAGAAAGCAUCUGCUUUUGAGAGGAGUUUUGGCGUUCUCUCCAACUGCAGCCGCACCUACUGCCUGUCCUGCAUCCAUCAAUGGCAAUGUGCCAAACAGUUUGAAAACCUGAUCAUAAAGUCUUGUCCAGAGUGCCGUGUGAUAUCAGAGUUUGUAAUUCCAAGUGUGUAUUGGGUAGAAAAUCGGAAUAAAAGGAAUGAAUUAAUUGAAGCUUUCAAACGGGGAAUGAGGGAAAAGGCAUGUAAAUACUUUGAACAAGACAAGGGGACCUGCCCCUUUGGAAGCAAGUGCCUUUACCACCAUGCUUACCCUCAUGGGCGGCUGGCAGAGCCAGAGAAACCUCGGAAGCAGCUAAACUCUGAAGGAACUGUGAGGUUCUUUAACUCAGUGUGGCUUUGGGAUUUUAUCGAGAACCAAGAAACCCGGCAAGUCCCCAGCACUGAUAAUGUGGAUGUGAUAGUGCUAGGAGGCCUUUUCAUGCACCUUUCUGGAGUAGAGUCAUCAGAACCCUAGUCAGUGCUAAUGCCUUCAUUUGGGCUCUGUAGUCAACUUUCCAAGGCAUGGUGCAGACGCAUCUGACACUGACCCGUGGUGACAUGGUACCGGGAUUUGAGUACAGUAGUGAGUCCCCCUGGAAAGAGAAGGGAGAUCACCAAGUCCAUGGAAUCUUGACAUUUAGAGUUGAGCUCUCAGUUGUACCUCCAGUCCCUUUCUCAGGGACCAGCUAUGUGGUCCAGCUGUUUUAAUUGAGUGCUUUAAAUGAAACCUGACUGCCAUCUUUCUUUUGUGACUUUCUUCCUUAAGCAACAGUAAACUUGCAGCUGCUCAUAAAGCAGCAGAUCUGGUUUUUUGUUCUUGUUGUUUUUGUUUUUAUUUUUCUCUUGCCAAGACAUCACCAGCCCUGUAGAAGGCUCCCCUGCAGUGACCAUCUCUAAUAUAGUUGUUGAGCCUUGGAAUUUACGCAACUGUGUAGUAAGAACACAUUUGGUCAUAUUGGUGCUGUACCAUAGUGUAGACUUUUAUGACUGUGAGGGUGGCUAUUGAGUUCCUUCCAGUGUCUCAAGUCAACAGGUGUGUGCAGUUGUGAAGAUCUCCAGAGAGACGCCAUCUUACUCUCCCCUUGUACUGAGAGCACAAGACAUAGGACUCACACACAAACUGCUUGUUCUCCACUAUAAAGUAGGCUCUACACUGGUUUUUGUGGGAGAAUGGAGCAGUCACUCCUCUGUCUAAGAACUGGAGCCAAGAAAGAGCAAGUUUGUCCUAAAUCUGAAUUUAUUUUUGUAAAAAAACUGUUAUUAUCUGUGUGCUUUUUGCUUGGCUGUUCAUGUAAGUGCAGAGGAGGCUCCUUGAGUUCUGUCUGCACAAGAAACUGAACAAGUAGGGCCCGCACUUCGAGUUUGAUAUUACUUUUGAAGGAGUCAGUAGCCAUUAAACCUAAAUUUAAUUUAUUUUAUUAAAAUAACAUAAUUGAGAAACCAUCAGAUAACUGUAUUUUAUCAGGCUCAAUAAAAACAAAGUUAACCCCCCCAAAAAAAUACCAAAACAAAAAAUAAU